UGGCUACAGAAGCUCGUGUAAUAACAAAAAUAAAAAAAUUAUAAAAAAAACCGCGAGAGAAGUGCCACAACGAUCUAUAGGUCUUUAGUGCUGGACGUCCAUUUGAAUUCGCUGCGUACGAUUUGGCUGCCCCUAAAACGAAUCCGAGUCAAAUAAAUUCAAUUAGCAUAUAUUAAUAUCGAUAUCAUUUUACUUCACAUCUCCAAAUUUGAUUCACCGAUAAAAUUUCAUAUCGGUCGUACUGCUGAAAUUUCUUAUUUCAUCUCCAACGUCCUCACCAUUGGAGGUUCUACGGAAGAAUGAGAUUUGUUGGAACGUUCGCGGAUUUUCUACUACUCAAUAAAUAUCUCUCCAACCCUACCGUUAAUCAGAUCUUCUUCAACAUUUUGAAGAAAAGAACCAAGGGAGAGAAGACAGAAAAAAAUUUGGAAGAAUAAUGAACAGUUAAUAAAAUCAACAGGC
rnacentral:lncRNA from 1 species